UACGGGGGGGGCAAGCGGUUGUUCGGAAUUACUGGGCGUAAAGGGCUCGUAGGCGGCCAACUAAGUCAGACGUGAAAUCCCUCGGCUUAACCGGGGAACUGCGGUCUGAUACUGGAUGGCUUGAAUCCGGGAGAGGGAUGCGGAAUUCCAGGUGUAGCGGAUGAAAUGCGUAGAUAUCUGGAGGAACACCGGUGGCGAAGGCG
rnacentral:rRNA from 1 species